UACACUCCUGCGGGAGGCAGCAGUGGGGAAUUUUGGACAAUGGGCGAAAGCCUGAUCCAGCAAUGCCGCGUGAGUGAAGAAGGCCUUCGGGUUGUAAAGCUCUUUUGUCAGGGAAGAAACGGUGAGAGCUAAUAUCUUUUGCUAAUGACGGUACCUGAAGAAUAAGCACCGGCUAACUACGUGCCAGCAGCCGCGGUAAUACGUAGGGUGCAAGCGUUAAUCGGAAUUACUGGGCGUAAAGCGUGCGCAGGCGGUUUUGUAAGUCUGAUGUGAAAUCCCCGGGCUCAACCUGGGAAUUGCAUUGGAGACUGCAAGGCUAGAAUCUGGCAGAGGGGGGUAGAAUUCCACGUGUAGCAGUGAAAUGCGUAGAUAUGUGGAGGAACACCGAUGGCGAAGGCAGCCCCCUGGGUCAAGAUUGACGCUCAUGCACGAAAGCGUGGGGAGCAAACAGGAUUAGAUACCCCUGUAGUCCC
rnacentral:rRNA from 1 species